rnacentral:rRNA from 1 species
AGGAAAAGAAACCAACCGGGAUUGCCUCAGUAACGGCGAGUGAAGCGGCAAGAGCUCAAAUUUGAAAGCUGGCUCCUUCGGAGUCCGCAUUGUAAUUUGCAGAGGAUGCUUUGGGUGCGGCCCCCGUCUAAGUGCCCUGGAACGGGCCGUCAGAGAGGGUGAGAAUCCCGUCUUGGGCGGGGUGUCCGUGCCCGUGUAAAGCUCCUUCGACGAGUCGAGUUGUUUGGGAAUGCAGCUCUAAAUGGGUGGUAAAUUUCAUCUAAAGCUAAAUACUGGCCGGAGACCGAUAGCGCACAAGUAGAGUGAUCGAAAGAUGAAAAGCACUUUGAAAAGAGAGUUAAACAGCACGUGAAAUUGUUGAAAGGGAAGCGCUUGCGACCAGACUCGCCCGCGGGGUUCAGCCGGCAUUCGUGCCGGUGUACUUCCCCGUGGGCGGGCCAGCGUCGGUUUGGGCGGCCGGUCAAAGGCCCCUGGAAUGUAGUGCCCUCCGGGGCACCUUAUAGCCAGGGGUGCAAUGCGGCCAGCCUGGACCGAGGAACGCGCUU